GAAAUAUCUGUUUUGUUAAAUCUGACUCAAUGACAGCCUGUUGGUUAAUGAUUUAAUUCAGAUGAUUCAUUUUGAAUGAUUGGUUUGAUGCUGUUUUUUCAGACGGUGACGAGGUGACAACCUGGUUGAUAGCGGACAGAGACCGAGAGGCUCAGAUCGUGAACCGGCGUGGGGGCGGUCCUCGGGGGAAGCGGGUGGCGAACCGUUACUAUACCGACAAGAACGUCACCUGUCACAGCUGUAAGAGGACUGGACACCUCUCCAAGAGCUGCCCUACGCCCCCGGAGCCGUGUUGCUUGUUGUGCGGGGAGCGUGGUCACACGAUGCUGUCGUGUCCCAGCAAACAUUGCAGGAACUGCGGUCUGCCCGGUCACUUGGACAAGGUGUGUGUCGUACCCAGCCUCCGAUACAGAUGGUGUUAUCGCUGUGGCGUACAGGGACACCUUA